GACGAACGCUGGCGGCGUGCUUAACACAUGCAAGUCGAACGGUAAGGCCCUUCGGGGUACACGAGUGGCGAACGGGUGAGUAACACGUGGGUGGUCUGCCCUGCACUUCGGGAUAAGCCUGGGAAACUGGGUCUAAUACCGGAUAGGACCCUGGGAUGCAUGUCCUGGGGUGGAAAGCUUUUGCGGUGUGGGAUGGGCCCGCGGCCUAUCAGCUGGUUGGUGGGGUGAUGGCCUACCAAGGCGACGACGGGUAGCCGGCCUGAGAGGGUGACCGGCCACACUGGGACUGAGAUACGGCCCAGACUCCUACGGGAGGCAGCAGUGGGGAAUAUUGCACAAUGGGCGCAAGCCUGAUGCAGCGACGCCGCGUGAGGGAUGACGGCCUUCGGGUUGUAAACCUCUUUCAGCACCGACGAAGCGCAAGUGACGGUAGGUGCAGAAGAAGGACCGGCCAACUACGUGCCAGCAGCCGCAGUAA
rnacentral:rRNA from 1 species